rnacentral:rRNA from 1 species
ACGAACGCUGGCGGCGUGCUUAACACAUGCAAGUCGAGCGGAAAGGCUCCUUCGGGGGUACUCGAGCGGCGAACGGGUGAGUAACACGUGAGUAAUCUGCCCUUGGCUUCGGGAUAGCCACCGGAAACGGUGAUUAAUACCGGAUAUGACCACUUCGUGCAUGCGUGGUGGUGGAAAGUUUUUCGGCCAGGGAUGUGCUCGCGGCCUAUCAGCUUGAUGGUGAGGUAAUGGCUCACCAUGGCUUCGACGGGUAGCCGGCCUGGGAGGGUGACCGGUCACACUGGGACUGAGACACGGCCCAGACUCCUACGGGAGGCAGCAGUGGGGAAUAUUGGACAAUGGGCGGAAGCCUGAUCCAGCAACGCCGCGUGAGGGAUGACGGCCUUCGGGUUGUAAACCUCUUUCGGUAGGGACGAAGCGCAAGUGACGGUACCUACUAAAGAAGCACCGGCCAACUACGU